rnacentral:rRNA from 1 species
UACGUAGGGUGCGAGCGUUAAUCGGAAUUACUGGGCGUAAAGUGUGCGCAGGCGGCGUUGCAAGUCGGUUGGUGAAAGCCCGGGGCUCAACCCCGGAGGUGCGGCCGAGACUGCAGGGCUGGAGGCCGGAAGAGGAGGGUGGAAUACCCAGUGUAGAGGUGAAAUUCGUAGAUAUUCGCAAGAACACCAGUGGCGAAGGCGGCUCACUGGCCCGAUACUGACGCUGAGGCACGAAAGCGUGGGGAGCAAACAGG